GACGAACGCUGGCGGCGUGCCUAACACAUGCAAGUCGAACGGAAAGGCCCCUUUGGGGGUACUCGAGUGGCGAACGGGUGAGUAACACGUGAGUAACCUGCCCUUGACUUCGGGAUAACUUCAGGAAACUGGGGCUAAUACCGGAUAGGAAUCCUUGCUGCAUGGUGGGGGUUGGAAAGCUUCGGCGGUUUUGGAUGGACUCGCGGCUUAUCAGCUUGUUGGUGGGGUAGUGGCUUACCAAGGCUUUGACGGGUAGCCGGCCUGAGAGGGCGACCGGCCACAUUGGGACUGCGAUACGGCCCAGACUCCUACGGGGGGCAGCAGUGGGGAAUAUUGCACAAUGGGCGGAAGCCUGAUGCAGCAACGCCGCGUGCGGGAUGACGGCCUUCGGGUUGUAAACCGCUUUCAGCAGGGGCGAAGCUUGUGGUGACGGUACCUGCAGAAGAAGCACCGGCUAACUACGUG
rnacentral:rRNA from 1 species